CCGCGGGAAUUCGAUUCAGGCCUAACACAUGCAAGUCGAGCGGGGUUUUCGGACCUAGCGGCGGACGGGUGAGUAAUGCGUAGGAAGCUACCCGAUAGAGGGGGAUACCAGUUGGAAACGACUGUUAAUACCGCAUAAUGUCUACGGACCAAAGUGUGGGACCUUCGGGCCACAUGCUAUCGGAUGCGCCUACGUGGGAUUAGCUAGUUGGUGAGGUAAUGGCUCACCAAGGCGACGAUCCCUAGCUGGUUUGAGAGGAUGAUCAGCCACACUGGAACUGAGACACGGUCCAGACUCCUACGGGAGGCAGCAGUGGGGAAUAUUGGACAAUGGGCGCAAGCCUGAUCCAGCCAUGCCGCGUGUGUGAAGAAGGCCUUCGGGUUGUAAAGCACUUUCAGUAAGGAGGAAGAGUUGAGUGUUAAUAGUACUCAGCUAGACGUACUACAGAAGAAG
rnacentral:rRNA from 1 species